rnacentral:rRNA from 1 species
GAUGAACGCUAGCUACAGGCUUAACACAUGCAAGUCGCGGGGCAGCAUGGGGGUUGCUUGCCACCCCUGAUGGCGACCGGCGCACGGGUGAGUAACGCGUAUCCAACCUGCCCUUCACCACGGGAUAACCCGGCGAAAGUCGGACUAAUACCGUAUGUUGUCCAUUGACGGCAUCCGAUUUGGCCGAAAGGCUUGGGGGGGCAAGGGUGGGGAUGCGUCCGAUUAGCUUGACGGCGGGGUAACGGCCCAGCGUGGCUUCGAUCGGUAGGGGUUCGGAGAGGAAGGUCCCCCACACGGGAACUGAGACACGGUCCAGACUCCUACGGGAGGCAGCAGUGAGGAAUAUUGGUCAAGGGGCGUAAGCCUGAACCAGCCAAGUAGCGUGCAGGAUGACGGCCCUAUGGGUGGUAAACUGCUUUUAUGCGGGGAUAAAGUGGCCCACGUGUGGGCUUUUGCAGGUACCGCAUGAAUAAGGACCGGCUAAUUCCGUG